AAAAAAUAACAGGAUGUUUUCUGGUUCCUACUGCUUCAGUGCUGCUGUCCAAACACAGAUAGCUCUGUUCUUGGAGGAGCUCUGGGCUCCAGCAAGAGAUACUCGCUACUUAUGCUAGACAUCUGCUGUCCUCAAAGAACUGCUUAAAUCCUGGGUGUGGAAAUCAGAGAAAUGUCCAGCUCCUGCUUCACCAUGGCCAAGUGUAAGAACUCGGUGAGCUCAUUGUGGAACUCCACACAGCUCUUUUUAGAGGGGUCAAGUUCAGAGCAAGAAAUCCUGCUACACUUAUACAAGUAAUGGAUCAAAGUCAGACUAAUAGACCAAGGUCAGAAGUGAUUUCCUGAACCUCUGUCCUCACUCAUCCCUCUUCCUAAAUGCAGGCUUGGCUGGCAGAAGCAGUGGCCAUGAACCAUUCAGAUGAGGAUUUGAGUUCUAAGAAGAUAGAGCAUCUCUAACUUUCAUCACUGUACUGAGGAUUUUUCCUUAUGCAUAGAAAAGGCAACGUCAUUUAUCCUUGACUGAGAAUCACCGGUACAUUUCAACAAUGGAAUUAGCUAUUCACUGCAUUACAAUGACUUGCUUUCUGUAAUUUGCCAUUAAUAUGCUUCUACCUGAACAGUGCAAAAUGUGAAUUAAAUUGCCACAGGGAAAAAUAAUGAACCUGUUCUUUGAUUUAAUCUAAAAGCGGACAGUUAUAGUCUCUUUCCUCAUAAUAAUGUUCUUCCCUCUCUUCUCAAAAAUUUUACUUUAACUUGUCUAGGUUUUCUUUUCA